UACGAAGGGGGCUAGCGUUGCUCGGAAUCACUGGGCGUAAAGCGCACGUAGGCGGUCUUUUAAGUCAGGGGUGAAAUCCUGGAGCUCAACUCCAGAACUGCCUUUGAUACUGGGAGACUUGAGUCCGGGAGAGGUGAGUGGAACUGCGAGUGUAGAGGUGAAAUUCGUAGAUAUUCGGAGGAACACCAGUGGCGAAGGCGGCUCACUGGUCCAUUACUGACGCUGAGGUGCGAAAGCGUGGGGAGCAAACAGGG
rnacentral:rRNA from 1 species